rnacentral:misc_RNA from 1 species
AUGAAUGGCCAUCCGUGGCCUUCGACCCCUUAAAACUGUGGAGGCAGAGUGUGCUUCGGCGCUCCGGCGCCGCUUUAAUGCUUGCAGAGUCUGUGUCUGAACUCAACAUAGUCUA